UACGUAGGGGCCAAGCGUUGUCCGGAUUUAUUGGGCGUAAAGAGCUCGUAGGCGGUUCGGCAAGUCAGCUGUGAAAUCUCCACGCUCAACGUGGAGGGGUCAGCUGAUACUGCUGUGACUCGAGUCCGGUAGGGGAGUGUGGAAUUCCCGGUGUAGCGGUGAAAUGCGCAGAUAUCGGGAGGAACACCCGUAGCGAAGGCGGCACUCUGGGCCGGAACUGACGCUGAGGAGCGAAAGCGUGGGGAGCAAACAGG
rnacentral:rRNA from 1 species